AAACGUAGGAGACGAGCGUUAUCCGGAUUUACUGGGCGUAAAGAGCGUGUAGGAGGCAGUACAAGUUGGAUGUGAAAGCUCCCGGCUUAACUGGGAGAGGUCGUUCAAGACUGUGCAGCUAGAGGGGAGCAGAGGUAGACGGAACUCCGGGAGUAGUGGUGAAAUGCGUAGAUAUCCGGAAGAACACCAGAGGCGAAAGCGGUCGACUGGGCUUUACCUGACACUGAGACGCGAAAGCCAGGGUAGCAAACGGGAUUAGAGACCCCGGUAGUCCUGGCCGUAAACGAUGCAGACUGGGCGUUUAGAGGGUAAAACCUGAGAGUGCCGAAGCAAACGCGAUAAGUCUGCCGCCUGGGGAGUACGGUCGCAAGAUUAAAACUCAAAUGAAUUGACGGGG
rnacentral:rRNA from 1 species